rnacentral:rRNA from 1 species
CUGCUGCCUCCCGUAGGAGUUUGGUCCGUGUCUCAGUACCAAUGUGGGGGGUUAACCUCUCAGUCCCCCUAUGUAUCGUUGUCUUGGUGAGCCGUUACCCCACCAACUAACUAAUACAACGCAUGCCCAUCCAUUACCACCGGAGUCUUCAACCCAAGAAGAUGCCUCCCUGGAUGUUAUGGGGUAUUAGUACCGAUUUCUCAGUGUUAUCCCCCUGUAAUGGGUAGGUUGCAUACGCGUUACGCACCCGUGCGCCGGUCGCCGACAUAG